UGGAGGGAACCCUGGCCAUGAGGGAUCCAAGCACCGCUCUGGUUUCCCAGAGGCCUGUGGAUGACUCUCAUCUGGCGGUGAACCUCAGAUGGGGCUCAGCAGUGAAAGAGGGGAAGACAAAAAUCUGGCGAGCGAGCUGCCCGGGCCGAGACUGGCCACUUCAAACAGCCCUUCAAACAAAAGGAGACGACGAAAAGAAAGCCCCACCUGUCUCCAGUGUUUGCUAAAAUAAUAAUAAAUAGAUUUCGUUUAAUAAAUAAUUACAAGAGAUUGUAAA